UCUAAAAUUCCACCAAAUAGAUCUCAAUUUCUCGAAUCAGCGGCUACUUCACUCACACUUCUAAUCAUGAAACGCCUCAUUUUCCUGCUAAUUCUCGCUCUCGUCUUCUGUUCUGCACAAUCAAGAUCCAUUAUCCCGCGCCCUCAACCUCUUCCAUCUCUCCAAAUCAGCAACAAAACCCAGAAUCAAGCGAGCUGUUCGUUUACUUAGUCAUUAGGACCAGUUGCUCAUCUACUCGAUACACGUGUGAUCAUAUCAGUCUUGCCUUCGGCGAUGCUUCUCGAAUCGGAAUUUGGACGGAUCCAUGGCGGCGAAGGACAAGGUCUUCUUGUUGCUGGCCUCAAAGUAGAAGUCCAGCGCGAAGAGAUCGGCCGGCUGGAGGUUCAGAUUGUCGCUGCACUCUCUACGGCUGUAGAUCGUUGCAAUUGGAUCAGAUUUUUUGCUUUUUUGGUCGAUUUUUUGGUUGAAUUUGGAGGAUGGGGUUUUCUUAUUUGAGGAAGAGACUAAUUUUAAAAGAAUAUUUAUAAAAUUAAUUAGGAAAUUAAUUAUGGAGUAAAAAAUCAGAAUUAAAAGUUUAAUUUGGUCAAAAUCGGGAUUAAACCCGUUGACCGUUAGUUUUUAACAGAAAAGUUAGUCCAGGACCAAAAUGAUUAAAUUUCCAUAUGUUCA